UACAGAGGUCUCAAGCGUUGUUCGGAUUCAUUGGGCGUAAAGGGUGUGUAGGUGGCGCGCUAAGUCGGGUGUGAAAUUUCGGAGCUUAACUCCGAAACUGCAUUCGAUACUGGCGUGCUUGAGGACUGGAGAGGAGACUGGAAUUCAUGGUGUAGCAGUGAAAUGCGUAGAGAUCAUGAGGAAGACCAGAGGCGAAGGCGGCUUUCUGGCUCGCAACUGACGCUGAGGCGCGAAAGCGUGGGGAGCAAACAGG
rnacentral:rRNA from 1 species